CUGUAAUGCACUUAGGAGUUCAGCUGUUUAUAAUGAGGGGAUUUCAGUCUGGUUUGAGCUAAUUCUAGCAGCUGCUUCACAAAGCUGGCCACUGCUCUUCUUCAGUGUUUCUACCACUACUGAAUUGUGGAUCCUUACCAGGUUUUUCCCCUCCACUUUUUUCACCACCAAGUUGUUUAGUUGGCUCUUGGAGGGGAGUUCUUCCUUGUCUCAAGCAUUCUAGGACAGUGAAGCAAAACAAACAACCUGGCUUUCCUGGGAAUAAAACAUUUACAGGGAAGAGGCAGGUGUGAAGACCACUGGCAAGUCUUUGGGCAGAGGAUGGAACACGAAGCAGAUGGGUUUCAUUUCCAGCUUGGGAAGCUAUUCAAGGGUGUUGCAGA